rnacentral:snRNA from 1 species
CGAUGUGAGGGCCAUGGGGCCGUGACACCUGUCACCCACUGGUCACCAGGGUUGAUUCGGCUGAUGAUGCUGGCUGGGUAGGGAGCGAGUGUCCCAUUCCUCCCCCACGUUCCCUGGCAUCCCUCCCAAAGUUGCAUGCUCCAUUGAAGUCGAAGAGGAUGGAGGAUUGGGCUUUGAGUAGCUUCACUCCUCUGCCAGGUCCUCCAAACAAGCUCUUGGGAAAGAAUGGGGCAGGUCUGCACACAUGGAUAUGUGUGCCUCAUGCAGGCCAUGCCUU